CUUGCUCCCUGAUGUUAGCGGCGGACGGGUGAGUAACACGUGGGUAACCUGCCUGUAAGACUGGGAUAACUCCGGGAAACCGGGGCUAAUACCGGAUGGUUGUCUGAACCGCAUGGUUCAGACAUAAAAGGUGGCUUCGGCUACCACUUACAGAUGGACCCGCGGCGCAUUAGCUAGUUGGUGAGGUAACGGCUCACCAAGGCGACGAUGCGUAGCCGACCUGAGAGGGUGAUCGGCCACACUGGGACUGAGACACGGCCCAGACUCCUACGGGAGGCAGCAGUAGGGAAUCUUCCGCAAUGGACGAAAGUCUGACGGAGCAACGCCGCGUGAGUGAUGAAGGUUUUCGGAUCGUAAAGCUCUGUUGUUAGGGAAGAACAAGUGCCGUUCAAAUAGGGCGGCACCUUGACGGUACCUAACCAGAAAGCCACGGCUAACUACGUGCCAGCAGCCGCGGUAAUACGUAGGUGGCAAGCGUUGUCCGGAAUUAUUGGGCGUAAAGGGCUCGCAGGCGGUUUCUUAAGUCUGAUGUGAAAGCCCCCGGCUCAACCGGGGAGGGUCAUUGGAAACUGGGGAACUUGAGUGCA
rnacentral:rRNA from 1 species